CGAGUACGAGCCGAAACACUGACGGUCGACGCUGAAAAUUAGUAAAAUCAGCACGCGAGCUCAAAAUCGUGCGUUCAAGUAAUCCAAGGAGGAAAGUUAGGUACCCACCUCGACAGCGAAUCCAGCGCCGGUGCGACGUUGAGGACGGCGAAAACACCCCCUCGCCCAGCCUCCUCGCGAUGUAACGGCCACAAUCGUAUGCUCGAAUGGCUUCGCGGCGCGACGUCGACGUGGAAAUCGAGCUCCGCGGCACGACCCGAGCUCCUCCUUGCUUCGGCCGAAUGGAGAGAGAGACUUAAUUACAGAAGUGCAUGCACACCCUCUAAAUAGAUAAGCAUGCAAUGCAUGCAUGGGGCACGUGGCAUCCAU
rnacentral:lncRNA from 1 species